rnacentral:rRNA from 1 species
UGGUAGGAUAGAGGCUACCAUGGUUUUAACGGGUAACGGGGAAUUAGGGUUCGAUUCCGGAGAGGGAGCCUGAGAAACGGCUACCACAUCCAAGGAAGGCAGCAGGCGCGCAAAUUACCCAAUCCCGAUACGGGGGAGGUAGUGGACAAUAAAUAACAAUACAGGGCUUUCUAGUCUUGUAAUUGGAAUGAGUACAAUUUAAAUCUCUUAACGAGGAACAAUUGGAGGGCAAGUCUGGUGCCAGCAGCCGCGGUAAUUCCAGCUCCAAUAGCGUAUAUUAAAGUUGGUGCAGUUAAAAAGCUCGUAGUUGAAUUUUAGGCUUGGUUAGACGGUCGCCCUUUGGGUUUGUACUGUCCGGCCGGGCCUUACCUUCUGGUGAGCUGUCGUGUUGUUUACUCAGCGCGGAGGGAACCAGGACUUUUACUUUGAAAAAAUUAGAGUGUUUAAAGCAGGCUUUCGCCUGAAUACAUAGCAUGGAAUAAUAAAAUAGGACUUUGGUUCUAUUUUGUUGGUUUCUAGGACCGAAGUAAUGAUUAAUAGG